rnacentral:rRNA from 1 species
UACGAAGGGGGCUAGCGUUGUUCGGAUUUACUGGGCGUAAAGCGCACGUAGGCGGAUUGUUAAGUCAGGGGUGAAAUCCUGGAGCUCAACUCCAGAACUGCCUUUGAUACUGGCAAUCUUGAGUCCGGAAGAGGUGAGUGGAACUCCUAGUGUAGAGGUGGAAUUCGUAGAUAUUGGGAGGAACACCAGUGGCGAAGGCGGCUCACUGGACCGGUACUGACGCUGAUGCGCGAAAGCGUGGGGAGCAAACGGG